rnacentral:rRNA from 1 species
AUGAGGGUGCCGUGCUGCUCGCUCUGCCACGUCCGCUACGACGAGGACGAGCGCGCGCCGCUGCUCCUCCACUGCGGCCACGGCUUCUGCCGCGCCUGCCUCGCGCGCAUGCUCGCCGCCGCGCCGGGCGCCGUCCUCCCCUGCCCGCGCUGCCGCCACCCCACCGCCGUCGGCAACUCCGUCUCCGCGCUCCGCAAGAACUUCCCCAUCCUCUCCCUCCUCUCCGACUCCCCCUCCUCCCCCUCCUUCCUGCACUCCGACUCCGGCUCCUCCGACGAAGACGACGAGGACGACUUCUUCGCCCGCCCCAAGCGCACCCCUGCUGUCCCUGUGCCCGCCGCCGGCCCGCCACCCUGCACCUCUGUCGACCUCGCUUCGCACCCGGACCUCAAGCUAGCCCGCCGCAUCGGGAGCGGCCCGCCUGGCCCCGCCGGCCAGGAGGUGUGUGCCGGCACGCUGUCCCGUGCUGGCCGCCCCGGUGGUGCCAAGAGAUGCAAGCACCCGGUGGCGGUCAAGAGGGUGCCCCUGUCAGCGGCCGACGAGCUUGAGGGUGUUCAUCAGGAGGAAGUAGAGCGGUUGAGACGAGCCUCCACUUGGUGCCGGAAUGUCUGCACCUUCCAUGGCGCCGUCAAGGUCGACGGCCACCUCUGCUUCGUCAUGGAUCGCUACCCAGGGUCUGUGCAGGAAGAGAUGCGGCAGAAUGGCGGACGCCUCACGCUUGAGCAGAUCCUCAGGUACGGAGCAGAUAUUGCUCGUGGAGUAGCAGAGCUACAUGCAGCGGGUAUUGUUUGUAUGAGUAUAAAGCCGUCCAAUAUUCUUUUAGAUGCAAACGGCCACGCAGUCGUCUCCGACUACGGUCUUUCGGCAAUUUUGAAGAACCUCACUAGUCGGAAAGUGCCUGAUGACUCCAACAUGUCUGGCAUGGAUGCUACGGUGCUUAGUCCCAAUUAUACAGCCCCAGAGGCAUGGGGACCAUUGAAGAAGUCACUGAAUCUGUUUUGGGAUAGUGCAAAUGGAAUAUCACCAGAGUCGGAUGCAUGGAGUUUUGGAUGUACACUUGUGGAAAUGUGCACUGGAGCUGUUCCAUGGACUGGGCUAAGUGCAGAGGACAUUUAUAAGUCUGUUGUAAAAGAAAAGAAGCCACCUCCACAGUAUUCAAGAGUAGUAGGUGUAGGACUUCCUGGAGAGCUGUGGAAGAUGAUUGGUGAUUGUUUGCAAUUCCGUGCCUCGAGAAGACCAUCUUUUCAGGACAUGCUAAAAACUUUUCUUCGCCAUCUACUAGAGAUACCAAGGAGCCCUCCUGCAAGUCCCGAGAAUGACUUCACAAAUGUAAGCUUGCCGAACGGUGUGGAACCAUCACGAACCUCCAUGCUGGACCUCGUUCAUGAUAAUCCGAAUGCUUUACAUCAUCUUGUGUGCGAAGGCAAUGCUACUGGUGUUAGGGAUCUACUUGCAGAGGCCGCCUCAAUGGAAAAUUCUAGUUUAAUUCAUUCCCUCUUAGAAGCACAAAAUACAGAUGGAUACACUGCAUUGCAUUUAGCAUGCCGUAGAGGCUCGGCAGAGCUUGUGGAAGCUAUUGUAGCUUACCAACAGAACGUAGACAUAUUAGACAAGGAUGAAAACCCUCCAAUUGUAUUUGCUUUGGCUGCUGGCUCUCCAGAAUGUGUUCGUGCACUUAUAAGGAGAUCUGCUAAUGUUAAUUCUAUGCUAAGAGAAGGCCUUGGUCCUUCUCUUGCACAUAUCUGUGCUCAUCAUGGUCAACCAGAGUGCAUGCAAGAAUUGCUCAUGGCUGGAGCUGAUCCUAAUGCAGUAGAUGGAGAAGGUGAAUCUAUUCUGCAUAUUGCUGUGGCCAAGAGAUAUACCGAAUGUGCUAUUGUCAUACUGGAAAAUGGAGGUUGCAGUUCUAUGAGCAUACCAAAUUCCCAGAAUAAGACGCCAUUGCAUUUAUGUAUCGAGACGUGGAACGCCAGUUUGGUGAAAAGAUGGGUCGAAGUUGCAUCGAAAGAGCAGAUAGUUGAAGCAGUUGAUGUACCUAGCCCUGUUGGAACAGCUUUGUGCAUGGCAGCUGCUCUUAAAAAGGAGCACGAGAAAGAGGGCCAAGAGCUGGUAAGAAUAUUGCUGGCUGUCGGUGCUGAUCCUACAGCACAAGAUGACCCACAUUGCCGAACUGCAUUGCAUACUGCAGCAAUGAUCAACGAUGCAGAAUUGGUAAAGAUUAUUCUUGAUGCUGGAGUCGAUGUAAAUAUAAGAAAUGCUCAGAACACAACACCACUUCAUGUUGCAUUGAACAGAGGUGCAAACUCAUGUGUUGGCUUGCUUUUAGCUGCUGGGGCAGAUUGUAAUCUACAGGAUGACGACGGUGAUAAUUCCUUUCACAUAGCUGCUGAUGCAUCCAAAAUGAUUCGGGAAAACCUGACUUGGGUUGUUCAAAUGCUGGAGCAUCCAUCACCUGCUGUUGAUGUGAGAAACCACAGAGGUUGGACACUGCGAGAUUUUCUUGAGAGGCUCCCACGAGAAUGGAUUUCUGAAGAACUGAUGGAAAAACUUGAAGAUAAAGGUGUUCAUCUUUCCCCAACCAUAUAUGAGGUUGCGGAUUGGGUUAAGUUUAGAAGAACAGUUACCUCUCCGGAUUUUGGCUGGCAAGGUGCUGGACCCAAAAGCAUUGGCUUUGUCCAGUCUAUUGUUGACAAUGACCACCUUAUUGUGUCAUUUUGCUCUGGAGAAGCUCGUGUUUUGACCAGUGAAGUUAUCAAGGUCAUUCCAUUGAAUAGGGGCCAGCAUGUGCAGCUCAAAGCUGAUAUUUUAGAGCCAAGAUUUGGAUGGCGUGGUCAGUCACGAGAUAGCAUUGGCACAGUUCUCUGUGUCGAUGAUGAUGGAAUCUUGAGAGUUGGUUUUCCAGGAGCUUCCAGGGGAUGGAGGGCUGAUCCUGCUGAAAUUGAAAGGGUUGAAGAAUAUAAGGUUGGCAACUGGGUCCGGAUUCGUCCCUCACUAACGGUUGCCGUACAUGGCAUGGAAUCUAUUACUCCUGGAAGCGUUGGUGUUGUAUACUCGAUCAGACCAGACAGCAGCCUCCUACUGGGCCUCUGCUAUCUGUCCAAUCCAUGGCUCUGUGAGCCAGAGGAGGUCGAACAUGUAGACCCCUUCAAGAUUGGACACCAAGUGUGCGUAAAGAGAUCUAUUGCAGAGCCCAGAUACGGCUGGGGUGGUGAAACUCAUCACAGCGUGGGAAAAAUAAUCGACAUCGAGAGUGAUGGUCUGCUCAUAAUUGAUAUCCCUAAUCGAUCUGCAUCUUGGCAGGCGGAUCCAUCAGACAUGGAGAAGAUCGAUGAUUUUAAGGUUGGUGAUUGGGUUAGAGUCAAAGCAACAGUCCCAUCCCCAAAAUAUGGCUGGGAGGAUGUGACUCGUAGCAGUAUCGGUGUAGUUCAUAGUCUGGAAGAAGAUGGUGACAUGGGUGUUGCUUUCUGCUUCAGGAGCAAACUUUUCCUUUGUUCGGUAGCAGACAUAGAGAAGGCGCAGCCAUUUGAAGUGGGCGAAAAGGUUCAUGUGUUGCCUUCCAUAUCUGAGCCACGCCUUGGAUGGUCAAAUGAAACUGCAGCAACCAUUGGGGCUAUCUCGAGGAUAGACAUGGAUGGCACUUUAAAUGUCAAGGUUUCCGGUAGAAAUAGCCUGUGGAAGGUCGCUCCAGGUGAUGCUGAGAGGCUCUCAGCUUUUGAGGUUGGAGACUGGGUGCGCUUGAAGCCAAGUAUUGGGAGCAGACCUACUUAUGAUUGGAACAGUGUUGGAAAAAUAAGCAUAGCAGUGGUCCAUAGCAUUCAGGACUCUGGUUACUUGGAGUUGGCAGGUUGUUUCAGGAAAGGGAAAUGGUUAACUCAUAACACAGACAUUGAGAAAGUACAGUCCUUUAAGAUUGGCCUUCAUGUUCGGUUCCGUGCUGGAAUUUCAGAGCCGAGAUGGGGUUGGAGAGAUGCAAAGCCUGAUUCGAGAGGCAUAAUUGCUGGUGUACAUGCUGAUGGAGAAGUAAGGGUGGCCAUCUUUGGUGUGCCUGGGUUGUGGAGAGGUGAUCCUGCAGAUCUUGAGAUUGAGCAAGUCUUUGAGGUUGGAGACUGGGUAAGGCUGAAGAACGAUGCGGAUGACUGGAAGUCACUCAAACCAGGUAGCAUCGGGGUGGUGCAUGGGAUUGGAUAUGAAGAUGAUGCUUGGGAUGGAACUAUUCAUGUGGCAUUUUGCGGUGAGCAGGAAAGGUGGAUAGGGUUUUCUAGCCAGCUUGAAGGAGUCAGCAGGUUUGUCGUUGGGCAGCGUGUGCGGAUCAGAGGUUGUAUCCGUCAGCCAAGAUUUGGUUGGUCUAAUCAUAAUCAUUCAAGUAUAGGGACCAUCUCAUCUAUUGAUGCUGAUGGGAAGCUAAGGAUUCACACACCAGCUGGUGCGAGGGCUUGGUUGAUAGACCCAGCCGAGGUGGAGAAAGUGGUGGAAGAGGAGGAAGUCUGCAUUGGAGACUGGGUAAAGGUUAAGGACUCGGUUGUAACCCCCACAUAUCAAUGGGGUGAUGUGAACCACAACAGCAUAGGGGUGGCCCACAGGGCCGGGGAUGGGGAGCUCUGGGUUUCUUUCUGUUUCUGCGAGAGACUAUGGUUAUGCAAAGGUUGGGAGGUGGAGAAGGUUAGGCCCUUCCGGCAAGGCGACAGAGUACGGAUCCGACCUGGUCUUGUUGCCCCGAGGUGGGGAUGGGGCAUGGAGACAUAUGCGAGCAAAGGUGAGGUUAUAGGUGUGGAUGCAAAUGGGAAGCUGAGGAUCAAGUUUCGGUGGAGGGACAGACUUUGGGUCGGGGACCCUGCUGAUGUUAUUCUCGAUGAUACCCCAUCACCGACGGAAGCUUCUAAUGGCGGCUUUUGUUCAUAG